rnacentral:rRNA from 1 species
AGAGUUUGAUCCUGGCUCAGAACGAACGGUGGCGGUGUGCUUACUACAUGCAAGUCGAGCGGUUCACAGGCGCAAGUUUGUGAAUAGCGGCGAACGGGUGAGUAAUAUAUAGAUAACUUGCCCUUUAGUGGGGGAUACUAUCUCGAAAGAGAUAUCAAUACCGCAUGAAGUCGGUUGGCUGCAUGGCUGAUCGAUAAAAGUGGGGGACUGACGCAAGUUGGCCUCACGCUAGAGGAGAGGUCUAUAACCUAUUAGUUAGUUGGCGGGGUAAGAGCCCACCAAGACAGUGAUGGGUAACCGGCCUGAGAGGGUGUACGGUCACACGGGAACUGAGAAACGGUCCCGACUCCUACGGGAGGCAGCAGUAGGGAAUUUUGGGCAAUGGGCGCAAGCCUGACCCAGCGACACCGCGUGGAUGAUGAAGGCCUUCGGGUUGUAAAAUCCUUAUGCGUAUUAUGAAUGGUAGUUAUGUAAAUAACAUGGCUGCAGAGACAAAGGUACGAGAUGAAGUCAUGGCUAACUCUGUGCCAGCAGCUGCGGUAAUACAGAGAUGACAACCGUUGUUCGGAAUCACUGGGCUUAAAGAGUACGUAGGCGGUAUGUUAAGUUGGUUGUAAAAUCUCACGGCUUACCCGUGAAAGGACAGCCAAAACUGGCGUACUUGAGGUCGGUAGGGGAGAGUGGAAUUCCUGGUGGAGCGGUGAAAUGCGUAGAUAUCAGGAGGAACGCCGGAGGUGAAGACGACUCUCUAGACCGAUCCUGACGCUGAGGUACGAAAGCCAGGGGAGCAAACGGGAUUAGAUACCCUGGUAGUCC